rnacentral:tRNA from 2 species
GCGGCUGUGGCGGAACUGGUAGACGCGCUGGAUUUAGGUUCCAGUAUCGCAAGAUGUGGAGGUUCGAGUCCUCUCAGCCGCACCA